AAAGGUUGACCUCGGAUCAGGUAGGAAUACCCGCUGAAUUUAAGCAUAUCAAUAACCGGA
rnacentral:rRNA from 1 species